rnacentral:rRNA from 1 species
AUUGAACGCUGGCGGCAUGCUUUACACAUGCAAGUCGAACGGCAGCGCGGGCUUCGGCCUGGCGGCGAGUGGCGAACGGGUGAGUAAUACAUCGGAACGUGCCCAGUAGUGGGGGAUAGCUCGGCGAAAGCCGGAUUAAUACCGCAUACGACCUGAGGGUGAAAGCGGGGGAUCUUCGGACCUCGCGCUAUUGGAGCGGCCGAUGGCAGAUUAGCUAGUUGGUGGGGUAAAGGCCUACCAAGGCGACGAUCUGUAGCUGGUCUGAGAGGACGACCAGCCACACUGGGACUGAGACACGGCCCAGACUCCUACGGGAGGCAGCAGUGGGGAAUUUUGGACAAUGGGCGAAAGCCUGAUCCAGCAAUGCCGCGUGUGUGAUGAAGGCCUUCGGGUUGUAAAGCACUUUUGGCGGGAACGAAAAGGACUGUGCCAAUACCACGGUUCGAUGACGUUACCCGCAGAAUAAGCGCCGGCUAACUACGUG